GAAACAGCAUCGAAAGCAGUGGUACAUCAGAUAAACAGAAACAUCUCCGAAAAAGCUUACUUUCAAGAACCAAAUGAGGUGGAGGCUUAAAAUUCUUACAGUGUAAACUGAAGGUUAAAAAAGCUUCCCUCUAGGUCAGUUUUUCUACAAAUAUUCUAAAGAGGGUGACAAACGGCAACUGUCACCACACCAGCCCCGGCUAAACGGAAACUGGAACUACCCAGAAACUUAAUGGCUGUUGGAAUUUGUGGAUGAGUGCUGUCACUGAAAUUCUCAUGGAGGAGAAGGUAUACAGCUGGAGAUGAGAUUUUACGCGAGGGGGAACAUUUGGAGACAC